rnacentral:tRNA from 1 species
GUUGUGGCUCAGUUGUAGAGCACUCGCCUAGCAAUUGUGAGGCCCUGGGUUCAAUCCGCAGCACACA